UUGCGGUGAUGAUUAAAGGAUAUGGUUUCACUUUCUAUUCUGAAAGUCAAUGAUUACACUUUCCUUGGCUGUCUGAGCAA